rnacentral:lncRNA from 1 species
GUGAACCCUUGAUAGUGGUAAUUGUUUAGUUUUAGUUGGAACUCGUUGGCCUUUGAACUUUUUGAGUUUGUGUUCUAUGAUUCCUUAUAAGAAAUUAGUUAUGUAUUAAAUUUGAGUCUGUAUCGGUUAGCAUGGGUGUUGAACACACACACACACACUAUACUAGUGAUAACAGUUUAAGAUGCGAAGAUUAAUAAAGAAUUGUGGAUUGGUUUUGAUAUGAAGUUUUGAUAUGUUUAUUUAAUUUUUUCUGAGGUCGUAUGAGUAAACUGUAUACUGUCUUAUUACUGGAUUCGUAGUAUGUAGUUGUUAAUUGCAUUGCAUGUUGCUUGAGGACAAGCAAGGUUCAAGUUUGGGGGAAUUUGAUGAGUAAGUUUUUAACCUAUGAUUUGUAUUCAUUUAGCUUGUUAUCUUGUUAGUUUUUGAUUUCUUUCAUAUUACUUUUGAUGGGUUUUGUGCUUAUUAUAGGAUAUUCAGGAUGCGUAUCAAUUUGCUAACAUUGGAAGGAAUUUUGAGCAACUUUGGACAUUCUGGUUCCCUAGCGCGGGGCGCGCUGUGAUGCUUAGUAAAGUGGCACGGGGCGCGCUAGGGCGUGACUUAUUUCUGGGACAGUAGUGCGGGCCACGCUACCGGCGAGUAUAUCGUAGUGCGGGGCGUGCUGUAUCGGCACCUUAUCUGAGCAGAAAAUUUAUUAUGUGAUGUAAGAUGGGCAUUGUUGGGAGUUUUUAAUUCUUUAUGUAAUAUGAUCAUAAUAGGAUUGUGGGAUGGUUGUUGUUUUAAUUUUGUGGGAGAAUUUGACUAAUGAUUUAUUGGUGUUGAAAAGGAUUUAGAUUUCUUUUUGACUCUCUAUGUGAUGAGUUAGAGUUAAAGUAGGAUUGGUAGUAGGAAACUGAGGUGAGGUCAUAUAUGCUACUUGUGGGAAAAAGGAUGGGGAUAUAAAAAACACGCUUCAAGAACGAGAUUGAGAAGCAAAAGCUUGGAGGAACGGAGAAGGAGAAUAAUUUCAUGAAGAUUUCAGAUUUAAAGGCCGAGAAGGGUGGUGUAUUACUAUUCUCCUUUAAUUUCAAAUUGUGUAAUUGGGAUGAUGUUUUCCUUUAUUUAUUCAGUUUUUAAUUCAUUAGUUAUGAACUAAAUUACUUAUUAGGUUUAUAAUGGAUCUUUAAGUAGAACAAUGAUUAUGUAAUCUUGGUUUUCAG